rnacentral:lncRNA from 1 species
AUUCCUCAACUGUGACUCAGCAAAGGACCACAGGUGGCCAGUGUAUUGAUCACUGCUGAGACCAUGAUGACUGAGAGUGACUGCUUCAGCUCCCAGGUGUGACCCACAAGAAAAGAAAGCGGAUCAGGAAGGGACAAAAGGACAGGGUUUUGUUUUGUUUUCUGUAUAGCCCUGGCUGUCCCAAAACUCAACUCUGUAGACCAGUCCUAGGCCUCAGACUCAGAGAUCCAGCUGCCUCUGUCUCCCAAGUACUGGGAUUAAAGGCGUGCGCCACCACCGGGCCUCAGAGGCAGAUUUAACUUCUUCAGAUAUUUUGGAAUAGGGAGAGUGAGGUGUCCUAUUUCUGUCUCAUGGAGCAAGGAUGGAGUGAGCAUCCAGAUGAGAUGGGGUCUCUCCAGUUUAGUUCCCAGCCUGCUGAAACACAGCGGGCUGUUAUCCUAUUUUACUAGGGGAAGUCAAGAUAAUGCAGUGGGCUGGACCCCUGCUGCGUCAUCCUGGAAAGAAGCUAAGCUUUUUAUACAGAAACAAAGAGCUGGGAUGUUAGAUUCAGGCUCCGAAGAUGGAUGGUUCCAAGGAGGAGAACGCUUCUGGUGCACCCCCUUCUCACUUAGUUGAGGAAAAAGUAUUAGGUAUAACCGUUAACUUCAUUCGCUGGGAAACAGUCAGGUGACAAUGGUUGGUAAUUUAUCUGAUUUUCUGUGAGUAAGAGUUCUUUAGAGUGUUCUAAACUCCCCUGGGACUUGC